CUGCUACCUGCGCUUCGACGUCGCCGUCGCCACCGCCGCCGCCACUGCCACCGCGCCGGCGCGGGUGCCGCUGCUGCACAGGAUCGGGAAGCUGAUGAACGACUAUCCCGUCCUCACCGCGGUGUUCGGGAUAGUCGGCGCCUGGCUGGCCGUGGCAGCUUUCUACGUGCUGAUCGAGGGUAUUUGCUGCUGCAUGGGGAGGAGGAUCAGGCCCAUCAACAACGCCCCAGUCGCACCAGUACCAGGCCCGGCGAUCGUCCAGGCGGGAGGGGAGCUGAAUCCCCCGCAGCCGCAAGCCAGGGCGAUGGUCUGACUGGGCGAUCGAUCUUCACUGCAGCAACAACGUACACUACUCUAGUAGGCCAAGUCUGUGAAUAACUAUAAGCAUGCGUGCACUAAGUAGUAGUAGUAGCAGCAAGUAGUUUCGAGCCUUCAAGCUGCA